CUACGUGCACAUUAGCAUAUGCCACUUCCGGUAGCGUACUUCCUGUUGGCUGUCGAACUUCCGGUAACAACACGACUCGGGUGGAAUCCGGUAGCCCAAUGGCCGAAGCAAAUUUCUCAAGAUGUCUUGGACAUAUGCCGGCGAUAACAGUUGACGAUGUUAAUCGACUGGUCAGCAUUUUUUCACCCGCACCCCAAAGCAAACGAGAAAAGGGGUUUAAACUGUAUAGAUCGCAAUAUUUGCACAAUUUUGAAGGUAAGUCACAACAACAUGAUAUCCAUGCUACGUGCUAAAGUUCUGGGCCCCGUUUCCCGAAAGCAUCGUUAGCCUAAGUGGAUCGCAGAGUGUGUCGUACGAGCAUCGUACAGUUUUCACACCGUUUCCUGAAAGCAUCGUUGGUAACGAACGUCUUGAAAACGCUCGUAGCUAACGAGUGCUCCAGGGUACUCGUAGGACGCUAAGAGCAUCGUUAGCCUACUAUAGAGUGAACUCAUUAUUGCAUGAGGGAGUCUUCAUUCAUAAAAAAAUAAAACAUUCGGGAGUAUGCAAUAAUACAAAUUAUUCUAAAAAGGUCAGAGACUCCGUGCACAGCCCCGCCUUCCCCAGUGAACCAAGAAACCCCGCGCCGUGACAAACGGGGGAUUUAACCCCCUCGGUUUAACACAGGAAACUUGAGAUAAGAAGGUGAAAUCGCCGGGCGUGCCAAGCUGCGACCGAACCGGCUCGACAGUGUAGAAAGACCUAUCGCCAGGGUUCGAGUUAGGUGGUAGCCAGUGGGAGCUGGGCUCCCAUAGAGAGAGGUCUGGCUCCCAUGAAAGCAGUAAACUCAAAUAUCUGUCGGGAGUUAUAUUGACGUUCAGUGGGAUAAUAGAACGCCGGUCAUUAUCGGGAAAAUAAGCCCAGACAGGGCGAACCGGACACCGACUCGAAACGGAGGUGCUUCGAUAAUUUAUUAUUUAUUUUCGAUAAUGAGCGGCUA